UACGAAGGGGGCUAGCGUUGUUCGGAUUUACUGGGCGUAAAGCGCACGUAGGCGGAUCGUUAAGUCGGGGGUGAAAUCCUGGAGCUCAACUCCAGAACUGCCUUCGAUACUGGCGAUCUAGAGUCCGGAAGAGGUGAGUGGAACUCCUAGUGUAGAGGUGGAAUUCGUAGAUAUUAGGAAGAACACCGAGUGGCGAAGGCGGCUCACUGGUCCGGUACUGACGCUGAGGUGCGAAAGCGUGGGGAGCAAACAGG
rnacentral:rRNA from 1 species